GAAUAAUUCAUGAACCUGAAUUAAUCAUGCAUUUUCAUGAAUUAUUCAUGAAUAACUCAUGGAAAUGCAAGGUUUAUUCAUGCUCCAAAAAACCCAAGGCUUUUUCUCUUUUCUUCUGCAUUCUCUCCUUGUAAGAAACAGACCUGAAACAAGCUAAGGAAUAUAUAUAUAUUGGGGACAGCAGGUGGGAGCUUUCUAAGCCAGACAAAGGAGACCUGACAAGAAACUGUGGUGAAGGGACGAGCCCAAGGCAAAGGAAUGUCCGGUCACCUCCUCCCCUGGAGCAGGCAGCUGAGAUCUGCAUAGACAGGAGACAUUUUGCAAGACUCAACACCUGGAGCAGUGCUAACCAGGGUUCACUGCCUCAGGUAGAACACCAUUUGCUGAGCUUUCCUGCUCCACCUGGGCAGCCCUGAUGUCGGCCAAGCUCUACGUGCUCAUCAGCUGGCCUGAUGGCAGCCGUGUCAUCAGCAUGGAAAACAUCAAGGAGCCCCGCAAGCCCUUCCAUCUCUAUACUGUGGGUGAGCAGGUGCUGGCCCGCUGCCCCGGCUUCAGUGGACUCUACUGGGGCAUUGUGGAAGGCAUAAGUGAGCAUAAAGAUGCUUUGGAGAAGAAGCUGCUGGAAGAUAGACAACUCCUGGAGAAGUUAAAAGGUGAACCAGCUGUCCACAGCAUGAUGCCACCCCAGCCAAAAAAAUCCAGGAAAACCUUCCCAAAAUGGACCCCCGUGAAUGCAUGCAGGAAAUACCACACUGACAGGACUUACUCUGGGAAGCCACUGCUGCAGGCAGCUGAGCCCAGCCUGCCCUGCAGUGCUGGCAGCCCCCCCAUCACCAAGGAGAGAUGUACCCUGGGGCCAUCCCAUCCUACCAGCACCUUCACCCCCCCAGCCACUUUUGUAAGCCUGGCUGUGCCAGGGACUUCCCAGGGUGAGGAGGACAGAGCUGACACCACUACCAAAGGUAACUGUGGCUGUAAAUUGGGACAUUGACUUCUGGCUGUUUCCCGAUGGGUGGGCUGGGCUAGGAAUCUGUGCAUUUGCCAGGAGAUCUCUGCUUUGAUCCAGGUCUGUGAGGAUAGGAUUCCGUUUUCUGGUCCUUUCUAUCAAGGAGGUCUCUUCCAGGAGGGCUGUCUAAAAGAGAUGCAUGUGUGGCAGCAUAGAGUGUCUGCUCUACCACGUACCAGCUGUUCCCCCUUGUCCAUUCACUAGUGCAUGUAUUAAGUAGUUACAGAAAUACCCCAGUGCAUUACCUACUUGCUGGCUGACAGCAGUGUCUAGAGGCACAUUGGCUCUUCCUGCUUUGCCUGCUGUGUCUUUUGUAAUGGAAACAGAAGAAGCCCUUCAGAUACCUCCUCACUCUAAAAACAAAAUCCUGGUUGUUUGAUCCUGGAAAGCAGGUCUGGAUCAUUCUGUUUAUGCAAAGGGAACAACGUGUUGCUGUGCUGAGUGUUCAGGUAAUUUGUUCUGGAGACAAGAGAUCCAGGUGCUGCCCUUGUCAACAGCAGGCUAGUUCAGCUUGUUCCCCAUCCCUGCCUCUUAGAUUACGUUGCCUUGGCAAUGAAGAGGAAGUCAGAUGGCAUCUUGUCCCA
ensembl:lncRNA